rnacentral:rRNA from 1 species
CCUACGGGUGGCAGCAGUCGAGAAUCAUUCACAAUGGGGGAAACCCUGAUGGUGCGACGCCGCGUGAAGGAAGAAGGCUUUCGGGUUGUAAACUUCUUUUGUCAGGGAAGAGUAGAAGACGGUACCUGACGAAUAAGCCACGGCUAACUACGUGCCAGCAGCCGCGGUAAUACGUAGGUGGCAAGCGUUGUCCGGAUUUACUGGGUGUAAAGGGCGUGUAGCCGGGUUGACAAGUCAGAUGUGAAAUCCUGCGGCUUAACCGCAGAACUGCAUUUGAAACUGUUGAUCUUGAGUACUGGAGAGGCAGACGGAAUUCCUAGUGUAGCGGUGAAAUGCGUAGAUAUUAGGAGGAACACCAGUGGCGAAGGCGGUCUGCUGGACAGCAACUGACGGUGAGGCGCGAAAGCGUGGGGAGCAAACAGGAUUAGAUACCCCAGUAGUC